rnacentral:rRNA from 1 species
UACAGAGGUGGCAAGCGUUGUUCGGAAUUACUGGGCGUAAAGGGCGAGUAGGCGGCCUUCUAAGUCAGACGUGAAAUCCCCCGGCUUAACCUGGGAACUGCGUCUGAUACUGGGAGGCUCGAGUAUGGGAGAGGGAUGUAGAAUUCCAGGUGUAGCGGUGAAAUGCGUAGAUAUCUGGAGGAAUACCGGUGGCGAGGGCGGCAUCCUGGACCAUUACUGACGCUGAAUCGCGAAAGCUAGGGGAGCAAACGGG